rnacentral:misc_RNA from 1 species
GGAAGCAAAAGUCGUAACAAGGUCUCCGUAGGUGAACCUGCGGAGGGAUCAUUACAGAGUUCAUGCCCUACCGGGUAGAUCUCCCACCCUAUGUUAUUAUUACUUUGUUGCUUUGGCGGGCCGUUAGGCUCCGGCCCGACUACCGGCCCCGGCUGGUAAGCGCCCGCCAGAGGACCCAAAACCCUGAAUAUUAGUGUCGUCUGAGUACUAUAUAAUAGUUAAAACUUACAACAACGGAUCUCUUGGUUCUG